rnacentral:rRNA from 1 species
GACAGAGGGUGCAAACGUUGUUCGGAUUUACUGGGCGUAAAGCGCGUGUAGGCGGCUUUGCAAGUCGGAUGUGAAAUCCCACGGCUCAACCGUGGAAGUGCAUCCGAAACUGCAUCGCUGGAGUCUCGGAGAGGAAGGUGGAAUACUUGGUGUAGAGGUGAAAUUCGUAGAUAUCAAGCAGAACACCUGCGGCGAAGGCGACUACCUGGCCUGUUCUUGACGCUGAGGCGCGAAAGCUAGGGGAGCAAACGGG